UACGGGAGGCAGCAGUGGGGAAUAUUGCACAAUGGGCGCAAGCCUGAUGCAGCCAUGCCGCGUGUAUGAAAAAGGCCUUCGGGUUGUAAAGUACUUUCAGUCGUGAGGAAGGUGUUAAGGUUAAUAACCUUAGCAAUUGACGUUAGCGACAGAAGAAGCACCGGCUAACUCCGUGCCAGCAGCCGCGGUAAUACGGAGGGUGCAAGCGUUAAUCGGAAUUUACUGGGCGUAAAGGGCACGCAGGCGGUUAAUUAAGUUGGAUGUGAAAUCCCCGGGCUUAACCUGGGAAUGGCAUUCAAGACUGGUUAGCUAGAGUCUUGUAGAGGGGGUAGAAUUCCAUGUGUAGCGGUGAAAUGCGUAGAGAUGUGGAGGAAUACCGGUGGCGAAGGCGGCCCCUGGACAAAGACUGACGCUCAUGUGCGAAAGCGUGGGGAGCAAACAGGGAUUAGAUACC
rnacentral:rRNA from 1 species